rnacentral:misc_RNA from 1 species
GAUGAAGAACGUAGCGAAAUGCGAUAAGCAAUGUGAAUUGCAGAAUCCAGUGAAUCAUCGAAUCUUUGAACGCACAUUGCGCCCGCCAGCAUUCUGGCGGGCAUGCCUGUUCGAGCGUCAUUUCAACCCUCGACCUCCCCUUGGGGAGGUCGGCGUUGGGGACCGGCAGCACACCGCCGGCCCUGAAAUGGAGUGGCGGCCCGUCUGCGGCGACCUCUGCGUAGUAAUACAGCUCGCACCGGAACCCCGACGCGGCCACGCCGUAAAACACCCAACUUCUGAACGUUGACCUCGAAUCAGGUAGGACUACCCGCUGAACUUAAGCAUAUCAAUAAGCGGAGGA